rnacentral:ncRNA from 1 species
AAAGACUUAGUCCUAACCUUACUGUUAGCUCAUGCUAAACCUAUACAUGCAAGUAUCCGCGCCCCAGUGUAAAUGCCCUUAGCCUCUUAUUAAGAUGACAGGAGCUGGCAUCAGGCACACCCUUCACGUCCGUAGCCCAAGACGCCUUGCUUAGCCACACCCCCACGGGCACUCAGCAGUAAUUAACAUUAAGCAAUAAGUGUAAACUUGACUUAGUUAUAGCAUACCCUAGGGUUGGUAAAUCUUGUGCCAGCCACCGCGGUCAUACAAGAGACCCAAGCUAACAACGUUCGGCGUAAAGAGCGGGUCCUUACUAUCUAAGUAACUAGGGCUAAAUCGCAACUGAGCCGUCAUAAGCCCAAGAUGUGCCUAAAGCCGCCACCUAAGACGACCCUAGCACCUACGAUUGACUAACCCCCGCAACUGCUCCUUGCCAGGACAGUCUACAUACUGCUGUGGCUAGCUCAGGAUACUUACCCCACCAAAGUAUCCGCCUGAGAACUACGAGCACAAACGCUUAAAACUCUAAGGACUUGGCGGUGCCCCAAACCCACCUAGAGGAGCCUGUUCUAUAAUCGAUAACCCACGCUGCACCCCACCACUUCUUGCACAUAGCAGCCUACAUACCGCCGUCGCCAGCUCACCUCUUCUGAGAGCUUAGCAGUGAGCACAAUAGCUUCCCCCGCUAAAAAGACAGGUCAAGGUAUAGCUCACGAAGUGGAAGAAAUGGGCUACAUUUUCUAGAGUAGAAAACUACACGGAAGGGGGCAUGAAAUGGCCCCCGGAAGGCGGAUUUAGCAGUAAACUGGGACAAUAGAGCCCUAUUUAAGCUGGCCCUGGGGCGCGUACAUACCGCCCGUCACCCUCCUCGUAGGCCGUAUUCCUCAUAACUAAUAACCCAACAUGCCAAAGAUGAGGUAAGUCGUAACAAGGUAAGUGUACCGGAAGGUGUACUUAGCAUAC